GCUUGAGCCUCCGGUUUCACCACUCUUUCGGGUUCGAGAUCGAGGUGGGAGAUUUUGUGCCGGUGAACUCCGUGCACCACGCCGGGAGAGGAGCUGGCUGCCUAGUGGAGCUGAGAGGGUUACCCAAACCUAUAGGCCGACCUAGCCCCGGGGUCUAUCCUCAAUCCGAGUUCUACCUUGAUCUUCAAUGUUGUACACGUUUCUUGUCCUCCAACACCAGUUCUGGCGGGGAAGUCCGGACCUCCAGACUUAGAGCUCCCUACAGGGCUGUCGGUGACCUAGCUGGAAACCUCGAAUAUAAAUCAACAUCAAUCAGUCCAGGGACCUGGCGGUAAGGUGGGAGUAGUGUCCAUAUCUAUCUGAAGUGCUUAGAAAUAAAGCAAAGGUGGUAUGAGUUGA